CCAACAGAGCUGGGGCUGGAAGGAUGGAGGGUGGGUCACGUGGGGGGCUGGUCUAGGCCUGAGCCGGUGAGCAGGGGCUAGAGCCAGGGUGGGCUGCAUUCACAUCCUGCCCUCUGGCACUCAGUGCCCCCGUGGAGGCGCCUCUGGUCCAGCAAGAAGCCCGCUGCCCAGAUGCUCGGGAGGUGGGGGUCCCUGCCUGCCCCAGCCCUGCAGUUCUGAGGUUCAGGGGCCCUGGGCUCACAUGAGCUCUGAGAGCAGCAAAGGGGAGAAGGAAGGCUCUGGAAGCCUCUUGGCACGAAACCCCAGCCAGAAACUCUGUCGGCUCCGUCUACAAGGAUCUCCCCCCCAGCAUCCCAAGGAGGUGAGGGGUGCGGAUGGCCAUUCACUUUACAGGUGGGGACCAAGGCUCCAAGAAGGGCAACUUUGGGCCAUUUGUGCAUGUCAUCCAUCCCAUCAUUCCGGCACCCAACAGCCACGGCUUGUCUCGUGGGGCCUUUGGGGAACAUCUGGCCUGGACCCUCAGGGUCUCUUCCUGCGCUGACUCACGAUGCGACAGCACAGGCUGGAAGACUUCGACGACCGAGGCAGCGACGCCCGCAGGCUGACACUGAUGCACAGAUGGAGUCAGCAACGUGGAUUUGUCCCCACGUCCCUGGUGCAGAGUGAUCCGGGGAAACAGUCCUGGGGAACACGGGGGCACUGCCCGGCUGGGCUGCCAGGGCCCUCUGAGCCCCUCUGCUCCAGUCCUCAUCGGCUGGGCAGGUAUGGUCCAGAGAGGGAAACUGCCCUGCCCAGAGCCACACAGCACAUCAGGGACCAGCCACGGCUGGACAAGGACUGACUGCUGGUGGGGGGUUCCCACCCUUUGUGGGAGAGCCUGGGGCCCCCUGAGCCCUCGCACUCCCAGGCUCUUGCUGGGCCCCCAGGGAAACGCCCUACACCCUCCCGGGCCCUCCAGGCAGCCCUGGCUCCAGCAGGUGCCCUUAUCGAGAAGAGGCAGCCGGGUUUUCUCUGCCCCACGUUUCUCCCCGCUGUGCCACACUGGCAGGCGUUUCUGUCUGCCCGCCUGCCCUCUGCUGGGUCCCUCGGCCAUGGUGAGGGGCUUGGAGCAGGACAAGAAGCCAAGUCUUGCACUUGUGGUUUGGAUCCACGAGAGAAUGGGUGCUGGCUGCUGAGGGCUCCCCUCUGGCUCCUGGGAGGAACACCCGGGACCCAGAGGUGCCGCGCUGUGGUCGAGGCCACGAGGGGUGAG
rnacentral:lncRNA from 1 species